GUCAGUCGACAUGUCGGCCGACACUACCUAUAGUAAAAUUGAUCCAAAAUGCGUCCUGGAGUGAGGAACAGGAAGUUCUAAAGAUGAGGAUUGAUAUCACUCAAAAUGAGCGUAAUUAUCAGUUCUCAAGACAAGGAAUAUGCACUGACAGUGAGUGACAAAUACUGCCUAAAACUGAUAGCAGAGUCCUUACUUUAAGAUUUGCCUGUGCCUAAAUGUUCGUCAUAGAGGCUUUACACCUAGGACAUGUUCUUCAAGAAAUUGAUACAGCAACUUUUCUUUUGAAUCAUAUUGAAGAUUAAAGCAAUAAUAAGUUGACAAUGACAACAACAAGCCCUUUAAUAGGAUGAAUAUCCUUGCUGGUGUAGGACUAUAAUUCUGUCAACUAGUGGUUUAUAUUUAAAUUGAGAUUCUUUACUCUGGUUCAGUAAUUUUUUGUAUAAUAAUCACAUGAUUGUAAGUAAAAAUUACAAAUGGUA